CGCCUUUCUGUGCGCUCCCUGUCCUCUCAGCGCUCAAUCCCAGCGAGUGCAGGCAUCACUGAAGACCUGACACCGGCGGAAUCGGACGUUCGCCGUCCUCGGCGGGACGCACCAGGUGUUGUGUUAUGCAAACUUCACUGCCAUCCGAUGACGCUGUCACAUCCCGUCGACGAGAAUGACCCCUGGCUUUGUCUGAGGAGCACACUUGGCCGUCUCCAAAACGCAGAGUCACAGGGGCAAGACAAUAACGCCCAGAAGUUAUAGAAAUGAAUUGUCGGGAAAAGAGCUGGAACGAGAAGAGGGGUGCUCACAGCGUUAGCCAUCGAUGCAGAGUGAAGGAGCGGGUAGAGGAGCAAAAAAGACAAGUGAAAGAGGUCCAGACUUGAAGGAGGCACGCAAGCACAGAGACACACACAUAAUGGCACCUAGAGGCUGUCUGCGGUCUACCACCACCCUACCACACACACACACACACACACACACAAACACACACACACACACACAUGCAUGCCAGUUACGCUAAAAAUCUGAACACUGAAGGAGGAUCAUUAUGGCCUCCUUCAGGAAGAAAACAAUGUUUUCUAGUUUUCUUCUCCAAGGAGAGAAACAUUGACAAGUUAUAUUCGAGAAAGCUACAAAAUUCAGUCAUUUAAAGAGCUUUGUAGUUUCCAGUACCAGCACUGUUAAAAGCUGUUUUUUGGUUUGAUUUAAUGCGAGAUGUAAAAAAACAAAACAAAAAAGCUUAAAUGUCAAAUUUAAAUUCUCACUUUUUUUAUUUCUAAUUUUCCAAGUCUUUGCUCAUGUCAUAUCUCAUAUCAUUUGCGAUUUGUCCACGUGUGCACGUGUGCUUAUGCCUGCUUCGUUUUUCAAUUUCUAUUUUCAUCAGUCAAAACCCAUCCACACAAGUCAAAUUUAACAGCUGCACCACAUAUCCCACAAGCCCCCUAACCCACCCUGUGUCCCUCCCAGGGUUCCCAGCAUCCUGCUUUGCACACCCUACCAAAAACCCAGGCAUGCUGAAAUUACAGUGUGUGGAGGAGGAUUGUGGGAAAGUGUUCCCUCCCUCUAACUCUGUAUUUGCCCUUUUCUGUUUUUUCCCCCUUCGUUCUGCUACAGUUUCGGACGUGUUCGGCUUAGUUUGAUGUUCGGUUAAGUGUCAAACCGAACGUUAAGUUGCAAUUUGCAUCAGCAAUAAGGGUGACUAAAGUUCAGCGUGAGAUUAACGAGGCACGAAUGUGGCGCUAAAUAAGAUUGACCCUGUUGUAUUGAUUAGUCUACGGCUAGGGUGAUAGUCUGUCCUGUUCUGAUACCGUCAGGGAAACGGCGUGUUUGUGCAUUUUAUGAGCUUGCACGCACACAGCUCAUUAGCAUAUAAAGAUUAAUUCAUUUGGUUUGAUGUUCUGUUCAGUAUGUCUUCAGAAUGUCACACUGAGGUAUGUGUGUGUGUGUAUUUAUACUACAAACACACGCAAAUGUAACAGGAUUUGUGUGUUGAAUUCAAUUUGCGAGGUUAAUAGAAGUAACCAAGAACAGUGUUGGACAUAGAGUUACACACGAUCUGCUGCCAGCUUGCAAAUAACUGUGAUUUGCCAGAUAAGACCAAGUAGUGUCAGCUACAGAGGCUUGAACUUGUAUUCAGCAGAAAAUCAUUGGAUUAUGCAAAGUGCAGUGCUCCUUGAAUCAGUUGUGGCAUUGUGCUCGCGGUUUGUAGCUUCAGGUUAACUGAAAGCACCGCCCUCGCACCGACCGUGUUCCUAACCAGCUCUAAUGAUACACCCCAUCAGUUCGGCUUCGCCUGCACCGGGGUUAGCUUGGUUAACAGUCGGCUGAGGUGAAGCGUGAGAGUGUGUGUGUGUGCCAGCUAUUAAAGCACUUCAGAAUCAGAGUGGAAAGGACUCGCACUGCUAAUGGACGUGUCUAUUGAUGUUCCCAUUUAGCGGCACACUGUAAACGAUAGGCCAAUGAUUGUGUUCAAGACGGAAGGAGGUGGAGGAGGAUUGAGAGCUGUUUGGCUGGGCGAUGAUAAUGACAAAGAAGGUUAUUAUUUGGCGCCCCAUGGAGUCUCUCUGGGCUUUGUGUGUGAUGGGGAGUAGCGAGAGAGGGUGAAGAGGUGCACUCUUUCUCUCUCUCUCUGUCUCUCUGUCUCUCUCCCUGCCUACUAGCUAUCUAUCUCCACUU